rnacentral:lncRNA from 1 species
GUAGAAGUUCAGAGUAGACCGCUCGUAGUAGAAGUUCAGCUCUCACAAGAGCCCGAUUAGAAUCUUGAAGACGGUCGACCGUCGUAGAAACUCGGAUGGAGUCCAAUUUCUGUAGAAACCUCAUUGUCGAAGAAGCUCGGAUAUUGACAGAGUCCGAAAGAAGUUCGAAGAAUAGUUGAUCACUGUAGAUGGUCGGCUGGUGGUGAGGCCCAGAGAGCUUUUGGGGCG